GGCCUACUGUAACCGCACAUUUAAGGUUUCUAAGCUUAGUCACCUUAAAUGGCGAGUCUGAGUAGCAGA
rfam:Caldalkalibacillus thermarum TA2.A1 ctg246, whole genome shotgun sequence.